rnacentral:snRNA from 1 species
UUAAUUUUGCUUAAAAAUCGAAUUCUCCACGAAGGUGGUUUCCCGGGGCCGGGCUUAUCCAUUGCCCUCGGGAUGUGCUGACCCCAGCGGUUGCCCCGAAUGUCGCCCCAAAAGUGGGAAAUCGACUGCAUGGUUUGUGGUAGUGGGGGGAUUGCGUUCGCGCGCCCCAA